UGUGAGUCGGACCUGGUACUGUGCAGCC
rnacentral:piRNA from 1 species